rnacentral:rRNA from 1 species
UACAUGCAGUCGAACGCACAGCGAAAGGUGCUUGCACCUUUCAAGUGAGUGGCGAACGGGUGAGUAACACGUGGACAACCUGCCUCAAGGCUGGGGAUAACAUUUGGAAACAGAUGCUAAUACCGAAUAAAACUUAGUGUCGCAUGACACAAAGUUAAAAGGCGCUUCGGCGUCACCUAGAGAUGGAUCCGCGGUGCAUUAGUUAGUUGGUGGGGUAAAGGCCUACCAAGACAAUGAUGCAUAGCCGAGUUGAGAGACUGAUCGGCCACAUUGGGACUGAGACACGGCCCAAACUCCUACGGGAGGCUGCAGUAGGGAAUCUUCCACAAUGGGCGAAAGCCUGAUGGAGCAACGCCGCGUGUGUGAUGAAGGCUUUCGGGUCGUAAAGCACUGUUGUAUGGGAAGAACAGCUAGAAUAGGAAAUGAUUUUAGUUUGACGGUACCAUACCAGAAAGGGACGGCUAAAUACGUGCCAGCAGCCGCGGUAAUACGUAUGUCCCGAGCGUUAUCCGGAUUUAUUGGGCGUAAAGCGAGCGCAGACGGUUUAUUAAGUCUGAUGUGAAAGCCCGGAGCUCAACUCCGGAAUGGCAUUGGAAACUGGUUAACUUGAGUGCAGUAGAGGUAAGUGGAACUCCAUGUGUAGCGGUGGAAUGCGUAGAUAUAUGGAAGAACACCAGUGGCGAAGGCGGCUUACUGGACUGCAACUGACGUUGAGGCUCGAAAGUGUGGGUAGCAAACAGGAUUAGAUACCCUGGUAGUCCACACCGUAAACGAUGAACACUAGGUGUUAGGAGGUUUCCGCCUCUUAGUGCCGAAGCUAACGCAUUAAGUGUUCCGCCUGGGGAGUACGACCGCAAGGUUGAAACUCAAAGGAAUUGACGGGGACCCGCACAAGCGGUGGAGCAUGUGGUUUAAUUCGAAGCAACGCGAAGAACCUUACCAGGUCUUG